UGGGGAAUAUUGGACAAUGGGCGCAAGCCUGAUCCAGCCAUGCCGCGUGAGUGACGAAGGCCUUAGGGUUGUAAAGCUCUUUUCGGCGGGGAAGAUAAUGACGGUACCCGCAGAAGAAGCCCCGGCUAACUCUGUGCCAGCAGCCGCGGUAAUACAGAGGGGGCAAGCGUUGUUCGGAAUCACUGGGCGUAAAGCGCACGUAGGUGGAUAGUUAAGUUCGGGGUGAAAUCCCAGGGCUCAACCCUGGAACUGCCUCGGAUACUGGCUAUCUCGAGUCCGGAAGAGGUGAGUGGAAUUCCUAGUGUAGAGGUGAAAUUCGUAGAUAUUAGGAAGAACACCGGUGGCGAAGGCGGCUCACUGGCUCGAUACUGACACUGAGGUGCGAAAGCGUGGGGAGCAAACAGGAUUAGAUACCCAAGUAGUCCCUGAGCGGGCUGGCAAGGCGCAU
rnacentral:rRNA from 1 species